UCCAUGGCUCAGAUGGAACGCUGGCGGCAGGCCUAACACAUGCAAGUCGAGCGGCAGCACGGGUACUUGUACCUGGUGGCGAGCGGCGGACGGGUGAGUAAUGCCUAGGAAUCUGCCUGGUAGUGGGGGAUAACGCUCGGAAACGGACGCUAAUACCGCAUACGUCCUACGGGAGAAAGCAGGGGACCUUCGGGCCUUGCGCUAUCAGAUGAGCCUAGGUCGGAUUAGCUAGUUGGUGAGGUAAUGGCUCACCAAGGCGACGAUCCGUAACUGGUCUGAGAGGAUGAUCAGUCACACUGGAACUGAGACACGGUCCAGACUCCUACGGGAGGCAGCAGUGGGGAAUAUUGGACAAUGGGCGAAAGCCUGAUCCAGCCAUGCCGCGUGUGUGAAGAAGGUCUUCGGAUUGUAAAGCACUUUAAGUUGGGAGGAAGGGCAGUUACCUAAUACGUAUCUGUUUUGACGUUACCGACAGAAUAAGCACCGGCUAACU
rnacentral:rRNA from 1 species